UCUUCGUCUUCGGCACCAGAUCUGAGGGGAACGAAGGUUUCCUCAUCCUUUUCUUAAGUUUAGAGAGUGUUUUUGGUAUUUUGGGGCUCGGAUCGGGGUUCAGGAGAUCAUUUUAGGUCGAAAAGGCCCAUUUUUGGAACUCCGACCACCGUGCACGGUGGCCGACGGACGGUGGCCCGAUGAUCAGAGGCGGCCGGACAUUGGCAGGCCUUGGGGGCCUGAGAGAGGGAAAGCCCUUUGUUUUUUUAGAAAAAUGAUGAAAAUGAAAUUUUUGGGCCUUUU
rnacentral:lncRNA from 1 species